rnacentral:rRNA from 1 species
AGUGAACGCUGGCGGUAGGCCUAACACAUGCAAGUCGAACGGCAGCACAGUAAGAGCUUGCUCUUACGGGUGGCGAGUGGCGGACGGGUGAGGAAUACAUCGGAAUCUACUUUUUCGUGGGGGAUAACGUAGGGAAACUUACGCUAAUACCGCAUACGACCUACGGGUGAAAGCAGGGGAUCUUCGGACCUUGCGCGAUUGAAUGAGCCGAUGUCGGAUUAGCUAGUUGGCGGGGUAAAGGCCCACCCAGGCGACGGUCCGUAGCUGGUCUGAGAGGAUGAUCAGCCACACUGGAACUGAGACACGGUCCAGACUCCUACGGGAGGCAGCAGUGGGGAAUAUUGGACAAUGGGCGCAAGCCUGAUCCAGCCAUACCGCGUGGGUGAAGAAGGCCUUCGGGUUGUAAAGCCCUUUUGUUGGGAAAGAAAAGCAGCAGGUUAAUACCCCGCUGUUCUGACGGUACCCAAAGAAUAAGCACCGGCUAACUUCGUG